AAAGAAACUAACCAKGAUUCCCCUAGUAACGGCGAGUGAAGCGGGAAAAGCUCAAAUUUGUAAUCUGGCGCCUUGGGCGUCCGAGUUGUAAUCUCGAGAAGUAUUUUCCGCGCUGGACCGCACAUAAGUCUGUUGGAAUACAGCGUCAUAGUGGUGAGAACCCCGUAUAGGGUGCGGAUGCCCAGUGCUUUGUGAUAUACUUUCGAAGAGUCGAGUUGUUUGGGAAUGCAGCUCAAAUUGGGUGGUAAAUUCCAUCUAAAGCUAAAUAUUGGCGAGAGACCGAUAGCGAACAAGUACCGUGAGGGAAAGAUGAAAAGCACUUUGGAAAGAGAGUUAACAGUACGUGAAAUUGUUGGAAGGGAAACGCUUGAAGUCAGACUUGCAUUUUGGAGUUCAGCCGCAAGGUGUAUUCUUCAAUUCGCAGGCCAGCAUCAGUUUUUGGGGGUGGAAAAGCGUGGUUUGAAGGUAGCAGUCUCGGCUGUGUUAUAGCUUUCCACUGGAUUCACUUUUGGGGACUGAGGAACGCAGUACGCUUUUUGCAAGAUUCUCGGAUCUUUCGUACUUAGGAUGCUGGUGGAAUGGCUUUAAACGACCCGUCUUGAAACACGGACCAAGGAGUCUAACAUGUUUGCGAGUGUUUGGGUGUUAAAMCCGGACGCGUAAUGAAAGUGAAUGGAGGUGGGAUCCGCAAGGUGCACCAUCGACCGAUCUGGAUUUUCUAAGAUGGAUUUGAGUAAGAGCAAUUAUGUUGGGACCCGAAAGAUGGUGAACUAUGCCUGAAUAGGGUGAAGCCAGAGGAAACUCUGGUGGAGGCUCGUAGCGGUUCUGACGUGCAAAUCGAUCGUCAAAUUUGGGUAUAGGGGCGAAAGACUAAUCGAACCAUCUAAAUGUUGCUUGGUGGUUAAUAGGGACUUCAAAGUAGAGCCCUAGUGGGAGUGGUAACUUGCGACACUUUCAAAUUGCGGGGACGCCCUUAGAGCUCUAAUUACGGCGGCUCAUCGAAAGAUAGAGUGCAGCAGCAGGUUAAUGGCCUCGCGGAUCGUAAAAACAUUAGAGAUUGGGUAAUCCGCAGCCAAGUCCUAAGUAGCGCCUUCGAGUCGCUAUAUGGAUGCAGUUCAUCGACUAAAUGGAAGUGGGUGCCCUUUCUUUACCGGAAGGGUGCUUGAGAUAUAGUCAGCCCCUCGUGAGAGCGAGCUAAUGGGACUAAGAUACGCUUCGUUUUUACCACUAUAAACGACGUUUCCCGAGCCCAUUGGGGUCUAAGAGAUCAUAGUAAAGACUCUAAAGACCGGAUUACGUGCUAGUAGCUGGUUCCUGCCGAAGUUUCCCUCAGGAUAGCAGAAACUCACAUCAGUUCUAUGAGGUAAAGCGAAUGAUUAGAGGCCUUGGGGUUGAAACAACCUUAACCUAUUCUCAAACUUUAAAUAUGUAGGAAGUCCUUGCUACUUAAUGAGCGA
rnacentral:rRNA from 1 species